CUCAGAAGGUUCUAUGAGUUCUCUGCUUCUGCUGAAAACAUUCUUCAAACAUUGACGACUGAGAAGCCAUCUAGAGAGAAAUGAAGACCUGAAACCAACUGUGAACAACAUUCUGAUUUCUAAGUCCCUGUGACAUCUAUGACUACAUUUUAGGACUCUCGAAGACUACUUUUUGGCUACAGCAUCUUGCAGCGAACUCAGUCUCUGCUAUUCAUGUAGCAGCUCAGCUAACACGUCCCGCCUCAGCUACCACUGACAUGCAAAACCAGGUGUUCUUUCAAUUGCUGUGUCACUGCAAAAAGCUGACAGUCACUGGGUACGAUCAGGUGAAUGAACUCCCUUUUGCUACAGAGCUCCUGUAGCAAAGAUAAGGUGUGGGUGAAAGCCAUCAGUUAUUAUCCACUGCAUGGAGAAGAGGCUUGGCUCUAGUGUCUGCAUUUCCUGCAGCGUGAACACCUGUAUCCACUCCUCUGGCAUAAACCAAGUUUAAGUUAAUUGCAGCAUCUUCAAUGAAGUGUCAGCAGGGGAAAUUUGUAGCAGAUGUGUAGCUUUUUAUAGUAGUUCUUUGUUCUUAGAUUGUGUACAGUUGAAUCUUUCAGCGUGUUGGGCCAGAGAUGUGAGGUGUGUCUGGUGUGGCUAAUAGACCACUUCAGACCACGAUUCCUUUGGCACUGAUUGCACGAAUGAGAAGAGCUCAGAGGAGGUGUAUGACCAAGUGACCUCUGCAAGUUCUUUUCAACCUCAGCCAGUCUGUAACUUUGGCAAAGCAUGUCCAGCAGCACUGGAUAUGUUUUCAGAUACUUUGUGAGAUCCUUAUUGACACCUAGAAGAUUCUCAGAGUUGUGGUUUCUUUUUUUUGUUCAUCUGCUAAUAAAAAUUAAUUAGUAA